UGCCAGCCGCCGCGGUAAUACAGAGGGUGCAAGCGUUAAUCGGAAUUACUGGGCGUAAAGGGCGCGUAGGCGGACAAUUAAGUUAGGUGUGAAAUCCCUGGGCUCAACCUAGGAAUUGCCUCUAAUACUGGUUGUCUAGAGUGCAGUAGAGGAAAGUGGAAUUUCCGGUGUAGCGGUGAAAUGCGUAGAUAUCGGAAGGAACACCAGUGGCGAAGGCGACUUUCUGGACUGCAACUGACGCUGAGGCGCGAAAGCGUGGGGAGCAAACAGGAUUAGAUA
rnacentral:rRNA from 1 species